UAGGGAAUCUUCGGCAAUGGACGAAAGUCUGACCGAGCAACGCCGUGUGAGUGAAGAAGGUUUUCGGAUCGUAAAACUCUGUUGUUAGAGAAGAACGACGAGGAGAGUGGAAAGCUCCUUGUGUGGCGGUAUCUAACCAGAAAGGGACGGCUAACUACGUGCCAGCAGCCGCGGUAAUCUCCAG
rnacentral:rRNA from 1 species